CCUACGGGAGGCAGCAGUAGGGAAUCUUCCACAAUGGGCGCAAGCCUGAUGGAGCAACACCGCGUGAGUGAAGAAGGGUUUCGGCUCGUAAAGCUCUGUUGUUAAAGAAGAACACGUAUGAGAGUAACUGUUCAUACGUUGACGGUAUUUAACCAGAAAGUCACGGCUAACUACGUGCCAGCAGCCGCGGUAAUACGUAGGUGGCAAGCGUUAUCCGGAUUUAUUGGGCGUAAAGAGAGUGCAGGCGGUUUUCUAAGUCU
rnacentral:rRNA from 1 species